rnacentral:rRNA from 1 species
CCCCUAGUAWCGGCGAGUGAAGCGGGAUGAGCUCAAAUUUGAAAUCUGGCGGUCUAAGGCCGUCCGAGUUGUAAUCUAUAGAGGUGUUUUCCGUGCCGGACCGUGUACAAGUCCCUUGGAACAGGGCGUCAUAGAGGGUGAGAAUCCCGUCCAUGACACGGACUACCGGUGCUCUGUGAUACACCUUCAAAGAGUCGAGUUGUUUGGGAAUGCAGCUCAAAAUGGGUGGUAAAUUCCAUCUAAAGCUAAAUACAGGCGAGAGACCGAUAGCGAACAAGUACCGUGAGGGAAAGAUGAAAAGAACUUUGGAAAGAGAGUUAAACAGUACGUGAAAUUGUUGAAAGGGAAACGAUUGGAGUCAGUCGCGUUUGCCAGGACUCAGCCUUGCUUCUGCUCGGUGCACUUCCUGGUGAAUGGGCCAGCAUCUAUUUUGGACGCCGGAAAAGGGCGGGAGGAAUGUGGCAGCUUGCUGUGUUAUAGCCUUCCGUCGUACACGGUGUCUGGGAUAGAGGAUUGCAGCACGCCUUUGGUCGGGUUCGCCCACGCCACGUGC